rnacentral:rRNA from 1 species
UGGGGAAUAUUGCACAAUGGAGGGAACUCUGAUGCAGCGACGCCGCGUGAGUGAUGAAGGAAUUCGUUUCGUAAAACUCUGUUCUAUGGGAAGAAAAGGACUGUACCAUAGGAGAAAGCUCCGGCUAAAUACGUGCCAGCAGCCGCGGUAAUACGUAUGGAGCGAGCGUUGUCCGGAAUUAUUGGGCGUAAAGGGUGCGCAGGCGGCUUUACAAGUUGGAUGUGAAAUAUUGUGGCUCAACCACAAACGUGCAUCCAAAACUGCAAAGCUUGAGUUAAGGAGAGGUAAGUGGAAUUCCUGGUGUAGCGGUGGAAUGCGUAGAUAUCAGGAGGAAUACCGGUGGCGAAGGCGACUUACGGGACUUAAACUGACGCUCAGGCACGAAAGCGUGGGGAGCAAACAGG